UACGUAGGGGGCAAGCGUUGUCCGGAUUUAUUGGGCGUAAAGAGCGUGUAGGCGGCCUGGAAGGUCAGCUGUGAAAACUCGAGGCUCAACCUCGAGACGUCGGUUGAAACCACCUGGCUAGAGUCCGGAAGAGGAGUGUGGAAUUCCCGGUGUAGCGGUGGAAUGCGCAGAUAUCGGGAGGAACACCAGUGGCGAAGGCGGUUGCCUGGGGCUUUGCUGACGCUGAUGCGCGACAGCGUGGGGAGCAAACAGGG
rnacentral:rRNA from 1 species